rnacentral:misc_RNA from 1 species
UACGAAGGGGGCUAGCGUUGUUCGGAAUUACUGGGCGUAAAGCGCACGUAGGCGGACUAUUAAGUCAGAGGUGAAAUCCCAGGGCUCAACCCUGGAACUGCCUUUGAUACUGGUAGUCUCGAGUCCGAGAGAGGUGAGUGGAACUCCUAGUGUAGAGGUGGAAUUCGUAGAUAUUCGGAAGAACACCAGUGGCGAAGGCGACUCACUGGACAUGUAUUGACGCUGAGGUGCGAAAGCGUGGGGAGCAAACAGG